GGGGUCUGAAUACAUUUUGACAUUGUGUAUUUGAAUAAUCGUAUGAAUAACAAUUUACUGAAUGAUCUAUGUAAUUUGACAUUUUGUUCUUUUUUAUAUUUCAUUUGACAACACUGGUAAUUAAACAAAUUAUUUUAAGGUGAUGUUGGCUUUAAGGUUCAGAGAUAUUUUUAAGGAAAAAUCAAAAACAAUUAUGUUGCUUACCUAAGUAUUCAACCCCUGUGUGGUGAAAGCUCCCAGUCUACAAAGAAAUUGAACUAACAAGGACACAAUUACUAUUGGCCUGUAUCAAGUGGACUUCUGAGAGAAACCAGUAUGAGGCCAGCAAUAACUUUGAAAGACAUAGAAGUUUAAGGGCUGGGAGUGGAGUUAUGGUUCACUGAUCAAUCAUAUCAUGUGCUUUAAUUAAACUAACCUGUAUUGGAAAGUGGCAAUAAAGAAGCCAUUACUCAAAAAGUACCAUCUGAAAGCAUAACAAUGACACAGCUGCAUUGUGGGAAGGUUUUGUGGUCAGAUGAGACCUUGAUAGAGUUUUUUGGCCAUAACUAAAAUAGAGGCACAAACUUAACACUGCCCUUGCCGUAACAUACAGGUAAUGUUACCUUGCCCUUGUCGUACAUACCGGUAAUGUUACACUGCCCUUGUCGUAACAUACAGGUAAUGUUACACUGCCCUUGCUGUAACAUAUAGGUAAUGUUACACUGCCCUUGCUGUAAAAUUCCAUGCAGGUAACUUUGGCAGUGGCAGCAUCAUGCUGUGGGGAUGCUUCUUAUUAGCAGGGACUGGGCAUCUUGUUAAAAUUGAAUGAAUAAUUCAUGGAGCAAAACACAGGGAAAUACUACAAGAAUAUCUGCUUCAAGAAAUUAAAGCUUGGGAAGAAAUACAUCUUUCAGUAGGACCAUUAUCCCAAGCACAAGGCCAAAGCAAUAUUGUAGGGGCUCCAGAACAAGAAGCUGAAUGUUCCACAGUUGCCUAGUAAAAAUCCAGAUUUCAAUGCAAUUGUCAAUCUCCGGGACUAUUAUAAAAUUGCAGUCCAUAAUCGUUAUUCAACUGACACUCGUUGUUCAUCCGACACUAUAAUCAAAACUGGUAUAUACUUACCAAAAUAUUUGAAGCUGUUAUUGUAGCAAAAUGUGUUUUUACCAAUAAUUAAUUUGUAGGGAUUGAAUACUUAUGCAAGCAAUUUUUAGGGAUUGAAUACUUAAGCAAGCAACAUAUUUCCAUUUAUUUUCGCUACAAACACUUCCCAAAAUAAAACCAUGUCACCAAUAUAUGAUUUUGAUUGUCAGUGUUUUAAAAUAAAAUGUGCAGCAGAAUGCCAUUUUAAUGUACCAUUUGUAAUCCAGUGAUAUGGUAGAUUUGUUCAGAGCCUUGAAUAUGUUUGCAAGGCAGUGUAUAUUCUCAGCUAUGACGUCACCAUCCUAGGCACCAUGGAAACAGUUGGGUUGUCAUUCCUAGAACUGACGCAGAGCACAGAAUGCAGUUAAUCAAGUGUCAUAGGGUGCUGAAUCUUUUCAAACAGUCUUGCGCAUGUAGAACAAAAGAACAUUGACUUUAUUAAAAUCUAUACCUGCAGUAACUAACUGACUGCAGUACUUACAAAAGUUACCUUCACAUAAAAAUGAAUGUAGGAGACAAGUCAAAACAGAUAUGUUACAUUUUAGAUGUUGGCGGGUUUAUGCUGACACUAAUGAAAAAACACAGAUUGUGCACGUUUUCGUAUCUGUGGGUCGUUUCUGAACAGUAAGGUCAGUCACGCCAGCCUCAUGAUGCCAAAGCGAUUGCUGUUUUCACACUUUUGUUCACUCAAACGGAAAACAAUUUGUGCCCACGAGAUCAGGCUGGUCUACUCAAACAGUGUAGGUGUUGUUUUCCUUACUGACUGUUUCAGAAGAGUGUCACCUGUAAACAAGCAAAUGUUCGUGAUUCACCCAGCUCCCUGGCAGAAAUGUUUCUAAUGCAGCAGGAUCAGGUGCUUAUGAUCCAAGAGAAAGUCAGAACAGUAGUGGUCUGGGGUGUAAUCACUAUUCCAAACAGAAGUCCUAAAACUAAAGUUUGCUAUCAGAACGCUAAGACCCUACCUGUUAAAUACCCUUGCAACAGAACAGGUGGAGUGCGUACACCCGACAUCCUUCCGUAGACUGAAGGUGAGCGUACAAAAACUGAUAUGAGCACAAAAAAUACUCCCGGAGAGUCUACAGGUUAAGGUCUAGAAAAGAGUGCAAGGAUGUCACUUUAGUCAGAGAGCUGGGCGGCACGCGUCAACACGGCACCCCCUUGUUUUAUGGAACCCACCGAAUGACUAAUGGUGUCAUCUUUGUCUAAAAAAAAAUAAACUUCACCAUACCUUAGCUUUGACCUACACGAAGAAUACUAUAUGGAGAAAAUGCCCCUCCCCUACCGUUCACACGCUGUUCCUUCUUCUGGACCAAUAAAUAAUUACACUCUUUAAAACACGUCAGGAGAACAACAGGUAGAUAUGGGGUGAACACAGAGUUAGAUACAGGUCUCGCCUUCAUAUGUGAGAUUAUGAGAACAAGUGUUUAAGUGAAUGUUGGGGGUUUAGCAUGGCCAUUAAGUGCCGGAGCCUUGUUACUUAUUUAUAGUGGCCACUAGAUGGUAGUGAUAUAACGUUAAAAAUGUUUCAUGUAAUACCCAAAUUACAACUCACAGAAAUGCGCACCUAGUUGACACCUACUUUAUAAUGACAACAAUCCUUUAAAUGGCAACAAUCAGUACAUACCUCUAGUCCUCUAUCUAACUCUGUGUGAACACUUGUGUCUACUCUGUGUGUAGACAAAUGGGGAGGGGGGUCAGGUAUGUACAAAACGGGAGGGGUGGGGGGCAGUGUGUUUGGGAUGUGGGGGGGACAGUGUGUUUGGGAUGUGGGGGGGACAGUGUGUUUGGGAUGCGGGGGGGACAGUGUGUUUGGGAUGUGGGGGGGACAGUUGAAGGUUGGGCGUCAGUGACCGUCAUCCCAUUAGCUCCAGCCAUCCUAAGGUCUCAGGGGCGUCUCUGAGGGACAGACAGACGAGCUGCAUCAGUAACAACGACGUACUCCCAGUGUUCUUCAUCUCUCAGUCUUUCAGCCAAUAGCUGGAGUGUUUCCUGCCCGUCUGCGUAGCCACGGUUACCAGGCAUUCUUAAAAGACACAGAGUCUCUCUCUCCUUGUGAUGCCAACCCCGUUUAGGGGUGUGUGUGUGUGUGUGGGUGUAGUUAUUCAGGUCCUAGAGUUGCUGUUAAUGGAAUGUUUGGAAGAGUCCGUGGGUUCUACAGCUGGUGGUCGUCUCUGCUAUGGAACACACACAGACAAUUAGAUAACCAGACAUUCUCACACACACACACACACACACACACACACACACACAGACAAUUAGAUAACCAGACACACACACACAAACA
ensembl:lncRNA